GACGAACCGUGCGAACGUUGUUCGGAAUCACUGGGCUUAAAGGGCGCGUAGGCGGACUGUCAAGUCUGGGGUGAAAUCCCGCGGCUCAACCGUGGAACUGCCUCAGAUACUGACGGUCUCGAGGGAGGUAGGGGCAUGCGGAACUGUAGGUGGAGCGGUGAAAUGCGUUGAUAUCUACAGGAACUCCGGUGGCGAAAGCGGCGUGCUGGACCUCUUCUGACGCUGAGGCGCGAAAGCUAGGGGAGCAAACGGG
rnacentral:rRNA from 1 species